rnacentral:rRNA from 1 species
CGGAAUCCUUUCGAGGAUUUAGUGGCGGACGGGUGAGUAACGCGUGAGAAUCUGCCUUUAGGACGGGAACAACAACUGGAAACGGUUGCUAAAGCCCGAUGUGCCCUUCGGGGUGAAAAUAUUUAUAGCCUGAAGAUGAGCUCGCGUCAGAUUAGCUAGUUGGUUGGGUAAUGGCCGACCAAAGCGACGAUCUGUAACUGGUCUGAGAGGAUGGCCAGUCACACUGGGACUGAGACACGGCCCAGACUCCUACGGGAGGCAGCAGUGGGGAAUUUUCCGCAAUGGGCGAAAGCCUGAACGGAGCAAUACCGCGUGAGGGAGGAAGGCUCUUGGGUCGUAAACCUCUUUUAU